rnacentral:rRNA from 1 species
UACGUAGGGACCAAGCGUUGUUCGGAUUUACUGGGCGUAAAGGGCGCGUAGGCGGCGUGUUAAGUCAGCUGUGAAAUCUCCAAGCUUAACUUGGAACGGUCAGCUGAUACUGAUGUGCUAGAGUGCAGAAGGGCAAUCGGAAUUCUUGGUGUAGCGGUGAAUGCGUAGAUAUCAAGAGGAACACCUGAGGUGAAGACGGUUGCUGGCUGACACUGACGCUGAGGCGCGAAGCUAGGUAGCAACGG